UACGUAGGGCGCAAGCGUUGUCCGGAAUUAUUGGGCGUAAAGAGCUCGUAGGCGGUUUGUCGCGUCUGCCGUGAAAGUCCGGGGCUCAACUCCGGAUCUGCGGUGGGUACGGGCAGACUAGAGUGAUGUAGGGGAGACUGGAAUUCCUGGUGUAGCGGUGAAAUGCGCAGAUAUCAGGAGGAACACCGAUGGCGAAGGCAGGUCUCUGGGCAUUAACUGACGCUGAGGAGCGAAAGCAUGGGGAGCGAACAGGA
rnacentral:rRNA from 1 species